AGUGAACGCUGGCGGUAGGCCUAACACAUGCAAGUCGAACGGCAGCACAGUAAGAGCUUGCCCUUACGGGUGGCGAGUGGCGGACGGGUGAGGAAUACAUCGGAAUCUACUUUUUCGUGGGGGAUAACGUAGGGAAACUUACGCUAAUACCGCAUACGACCUACGGGUGAAAGCAGGGGAUCUUCGGACCUUGCGCGAUUGAAUGAGCCGAUGGCGGAUUAGCUAGUUGGCGGGGUAAAGGCCCACCAAGGCGACGAUCCGUAGCUGGUCUGAGAGGAUGAUCAGCCACACUGGAACAGAGACACGGCACAGACUCCUACGGGGGGCAGGAGUGGAGAAUUUGGGACAAUGGGCGAAAGCCUGAUCCAGCCAUACCGCGUGGGUGAAGAAGGCCUUCGGGUUGUAAAGCCCUUUUGUUGGGAAAGAAAAGCAGCAGGUUAAUACCCCGCUGUUCUGACGGUACCCAAAGAAUAGGCACCGGCUAACUUCG
rnacentral:rRNA from 1 species